UCCGGUAUAGUGUAACGGUUAACAUAUCGCGUUUUCAAAUCUAAUGAUCCGCGGGGCUCGGGGUUCGAUUCCCCGUACCGGAG